UACGUAGGGGGGCUAGCGUUGUCCGGAUUUAUUGGGCGUAAAGAGCGUGUAGGCGGCCAGGUAGGUCUGGUGUGAAAACUCGAGGCUUAACCUCGAGAUGUCAUCGGAAACCAUCUGGCUAGAGUCCGGAAGAGGAGAGUGGAAUUCCUGGUGUAGCGGUGAAAUGCGCAGAUAUCAGGAAGAACACCAAUGGCGAAAAGCAGCUCUCUGGGACGGUACUGACGCUGAGACGCGAAAGCGUGGGGGAGCGAACAGG
rnacentral:rRNA from 1 species